UCCCGCGCAGCGGCUGCUGAGGGGAGGGGCUGCGUCCAGAGCAGAGCGGACGUAGGGGGAAGUACUGCUCCUUGCUGCACCAUCAGUAAUGGUUCCUGAGUCUAGCUAUGUUGACGACCCUGCUGAAAUCAGAGCACUUAAUUGAUAAGAUUAAACGUGUGCUCACUUCUGAUCGGCGCAGCUUGAGCGACCGUGCAGGAUCUGGAAACUUCUGUUAUGGAAAACGUGUUAAAGGAGGCCAGCCAGCUCACCUGUGUAACACAACAUCUCCUGCAACACAGCUGGUGGUAGGAGGAAUUGGAUGUAUUCUGUACAGAAAGAGGAAGCCAUCAACCUUGCAAAAAAAAAUCACAGAGCUCUAUGAACAGCCUGCAGGCAAUCUGCUUAAAGUUGAUCUUUCUCCUGUCUGGGUAAAGUGGGCAUCAAAACAGACUCUUCCUUAACCUCACCAAGAAAUGUGGUCUCAUUAUUUGUCUGUCCAGCUGUUGAUCAAGAUGGAUUUAUCCAGAAGAGAGUGGGGGAGAGCCAAGCCAAGGAACACUGCCUCCUUUGAAGAUAGCUCCCUUAACCAUGACAAAGAAUAAAGUCUGCGCUGCAAACAUUUCUCCUCUCAUAUGAAUUUUCUGCACCACCAUCAGUCUGGCUUAGACAAGAGUCACUCAACAGUUGAAGCAGACCAGUUCUCCUUCUACAAGCACAGGGCUGACAUCCAAGUUUGGGUGAGGAAGUCAGGAACAUUCCAAUAGAACCUUCUUGGUUGCAUAGAAAAUGUCCCACUGCUUUCAUCAGUGGGGCAUGGAGGUCACCAUAGCUCUUGGAAGAGCUGCAAGCAGUUUUCUACCCACCAAUGAGAGAAGAUUGUUUCUUCUGCAACCAGCCUGGCCUUGAAUACUUCCAGGGAUUGGAGAACCAAAGAUUUUCUGGGCAGCCUGUUCCA